ensembl:lncRNA
CAAUGACACAGUUUAAUACAACUCAAAUAUUUAUAUAAGUAUUUAGUCUCCCACACACUAAACAGGAUGAGACACAUUAUUAAAUAUGGGGGAAAUUCUUAGAUUAACUGCAUCUCAUUUCUACACAAUAGAAGUAUAUGGAAAAGAGUUUUCCAUGUAAUAUAACUGCAGAUUUCAAAUCCCUAUUAUUACUAUGACUGUAUGCUUUUGCGAUACAUUGUUAACAUGCUGGUAAUGUCAUAAGUACUUUUAGCAUUUGAUCAAUAAGGGCUUUUCAUUGCAAUUUAAUUACAAUUGAAAUACAUCAUCAUAGAAUUCCUUAACAAGAACUGCCAGAAAUCUCUGCUUGGUUUGGAAUUUGAAUCCUUCAUGACAUUUUCAGUGCUGAACAGUUUGUUUUAUUUUAUUUUAUUUACAACCAGAAAAGUUACACUUUUUAAAGUCUCUCUGUCUACAACCAUAGACUAUAACCUUUAUGUACAUGCAUAGUUAGUUCCUUUUUCGUUCUCAUGAACCACAUGAAACAAUACAAACUUUCAACCCUUUAUCCGGAUUGUCUCAAAGACAAGCGACUUGCUGCAAUUCUUUUGAAAAGGCAAAAAUGUUAAGAGCUCAAUUAAAAACCUUAACACUACGUAGUAUCUACAUAUUAUUUCUAUUAUUUCAUAAUUUCUCUGUGCAACCCUCAGACUUAAAAACUCUAUUCAAAACUUCAACAAAUUCAGUGAAGAAGGAAGGCGAAAGGCACGGUCAGUACAACAACAACAACAACAACAACAAAAAACUGUAUAUACAGCAGUUUCAUCAAAACUGCAUUAAAAACAUUCUCACAAAGUUACUGCUGGUGAAGUUUUGGACACAACAGAAAAAUCACAACGAUAUAUAAUUACGCGUCAUUGACUUAAGAAAAUCAGGAAAUAAAACGUGUCGUGCUAUUUACCUGCAUGUAGAUCAGAAAAACAAAACAAUGGAAAUGCAGACUCGAAAUCCUUACCUCAUAGACGAUGGCUCUGCUUAUUGCUCUAGAAUGAAUGAAUGAAUGAAUAAAGCCAAAUUGUGAUCAUUUAUUUUGGUUUGUUUCAAUAAGGAACCUCCACUUUUCUCUCUCUUUCUUGAAGUUAAUGAUAAAAACAAAAACAAACCAAAAAAAAACAAAAAAAAAACACCACCACUCCAGAGCUUGUCAUGUUACCGGGAAACCGUCUUGAAGACUUUUCACCGAC